AACCUUAGCAAUGUGCGAAAGCACGACUGGGUCAGUCCGAGUGAUUCCUGAUAAAGGAGUCUUUUGCUUGUCCUAAAAGCACAGGUGAAUAAGGGGUGGGCAAGUCUGGUGUCAGCCGCCGCGGUAAUACCAGCACCUCGAGUGGUCAGGAGGUUUAUUGGGCCUAAAGCAUCCGUAGCCGGUUGCAUAAGUUUUCGGUUAAAUCUAUGCGCUUAACGUAUAGGCCGCCGAAAAUACUGUGCAGCUAGGGAGUGGGAGAGGUACACGGUACUCGAUAGGAAGGGGUAAAAUCCUUUGAUCUAUUGAUGACCACCUGUGGCGAAGGCGGUGUACCAGAACACGUUCGACGGUGAGGGAUGAAAGCUGGGGGAGCAAACCGG
rnacentral:rRNA from 1 species